UUCCUAAACGGGAAAGAAAUAGCAAUCUUUAUAUUCCAGCUUCUAGGAUUAUUUUGUAUUUAAGACCAAAUAUAUUAACAUUUGAAACAUUCAUUAAUGUUAAACUUGAAACAAUAGAGUUUUCAUUUAUAGCAUAGCAAUUAAUUACUAAUAUAUAUAUAUAUACACACACACAUACGUACAUACAUACAUGGUUACCAUAUAAGAAUUUUAGCAAGUAUUUUGAACUGAUUUUUACUUUUUAAAACCAGAGGAUUCAACUAGAAUCAGGAAAGGUCGUGGAAGAACAAUGGGAAAAGGUCUUGAGAAAAUGAAGAAGUCUAUAGGGAGAAAGAUGGUUAUACAUCCCAGUUGGUAAAGGAAGGCCAGUUAAGGCAAUAUAUUAACAUUUGAAACAUUCAUUAAUGUUAAACUUGAAACAAUAGAGUUUUCAUUUAUAGCAUAGCAAUUAAUUACUAAUAUAUAUAUAUACACACACACAUACAUACAUACAUACAUACAUGGUUACCAUAUAAGAAUUUUAGCAAGUAUUUUGAACUGAUUUUUACUUUUUAAAAUCAGAGGAUUCAACUAGAAUCAGGAAAGGUCGUGGAAGAACAAUGGGAAAAGGUCUUGAGAAAAUGAAGAAGUCUAUAGGGAGAAAGAUGGUUAUAGACAUC
rnacentral:lncRNA from 1 species